GCCGAAGUGGCGGAAUUGGCAGACGCGCGGGACUCAAAAUCCCGUCCGGUUCACCCCGGGUGUGGGUUCAAUUCCCACCUUCGGCA
rfam:Planctomycetes bacterium RBG_13_46_10 RBG_13_scaffold_971, whole genome shotgun sequence.